rnacentral:rRNA from 1 species
UAGGGAAUCUUCCACAAUGGACGCAAGUCUGAUGGAGCAACGCCGCGUGAGUGAAGAGGGUUUUCGGAUCGUAAAGCUCUGUUGUUGGUGAAGAAGGAUAGAGGCAGUAACUGGUCUUUAUUUGACGGUAAUCAACCAGAAAGUCACGGCUAACUACGUGCCAA